AAUGCACUGCUGCAUAGCAGUCCAUCUAGGGCGUGUGCUUGUGGAAGACUGAGGUUGCAGCAGAUGUCUCAGCUGAAAUUAACUCGUCUCUCCUGAGAAAUGGAGCUUCUCCAUACAGACUGCCAGUUGAGUUACCAGCUUCGUGAAAGAAGAGUGGGCACUACGAGAAACACAGUCCAACUCCCACCCCCUGUCUGCAUGCUCCAGCCACUUACUUUGGCCUUGCUGUGGGACACUGCCACCCCUGGGGGAACUGAUUCAACACUAAGUAGAAGAAAAUAAGCCCAGCAAAGAAGUGGGAGAUCUUCUUCUAUUUUGUGAGAUAAAUUGCCACAGCAAGGGUCCCAGGAGCAUCACAGCUAGCACAAGAGAAGGGAUGACACUGCAUGAAUUGAAGUAAGAGAGGAGGGAUGGGGAAUGAGACACCCUCUCUAACUUCUUGUGGGAGUGAAUAUGUAACUGUAAAUUAGUUGCCUGGGGAGAUUUUGGGCAGAGGAGUGAAGAGCCUGAUGUAUUGAAGUGCCUAAAAUGUUAGGCAGUUCUGGAAAGCAGACUAAGCAGAUCGCUGCUGGUCUAUGUCAGGCUUAGAUGCUGAAGUUCCAACUUUGGCAGAGUUGGAGCAAGCCAGAUCCCACCCUGAAAGAUCUGCUUAUAAA
ensembl:lncRNA